rnacentral:rRNA from 1 species
ACAGCAGUCGCCGCGGUAAUACGGAGGGUGCAAGCGUUAAUCGGAAUUACUGGGCGUAAAGCGUGCGUAGGUGGUGGUUUAAGUCCGUUGUGAAAGCCCUGGGCUCAACCUGGGAAUUGCAGUGGAUACUGGGUCACUAGAGUGUGGUAGAGGAUAGUGGAAUUUCCGGUGUAGCAGUGAAAUGCGUAGAGAUCGGAAGGAACAUCUGUGGCGAAGGCGACUAUCUGGGCCAACACUGACACUGAGGCACGAAAGCGUGGGGAGCAAACAGGAUUAGAUACCCCGGUAGUCCCUGUCUCUUAUAC